CUUUCUCUCACACUGUCCGCCCUGUCUCGGCUGCUUAGUCUGGCGGCUCCCACACACAGCUGCGUGGCCGGCUCUCCCUUGCCUUCAGGGUGAGCAGCUUAACUCUUUCUCUCUCUGGGAGUGAGUGAGCUGAGCUGUGUCCUGGCUCAGACGGACAGCUCUGACUCGCUCGCUCUUUCUCUGGGCGCCUGCGCGCCUACCAUGACAAGCCAUUUCAGGCGAGCCGAGCCCCAGAGCCAUGUGUCUGGUGCGCAGUGUUAACAGGGCAGUUAUACCUUUUACAGACAACUGUGGCUCCAAGUCAAGUAUGAACUUACACAAACAGUUUAUAUAACAAGUGGAGGUGUGCGCCUGCGUGCCAAACUUGCUGACUCGUGCAGGCCUGGAUACCCGCCUCAGACUAUUCCUUGACCGAAGCACUUCCAGGGCAGGAAACUGAAGCUCUUGGGAAGGUGGAAGUUGCACGUGGUCUCACAGUCAACUGUGCCAGAAUAGGAGGCCAGGAACCAUCUCUGCUGGAGGAAGACCCACCACGCAUCCCUUCAAGAAUGCCAAGGUCCAGAGCAAGUGCUUCCCUUCUAUGGGCACAGGAGGGCUGUGGGAGCCCACAGAAUGUGCUUCUGGCCAGAGUGGGAUCCCCGAGGAAGAUGUUAAGACCUCUAAUAAUAUUUAAGAGCAAAAUUAGCACAGCUCCAGCCCAUGGGCAAGUUAAGAGACAGGAGUAGUGUCUGUGGAGUGGAGGAAAGCAGAGGCUGCCGCUGACCAUCCUGCAGCCCUCGCUCUGGCUGCUCACAGCUCUCCACCUUCUCUGGACUUCGUCACUUCAGUAUGUGAAACAACCAUUUCAACCAGCUUGGACAAAAGAGAGAAGCCAAGAUGGGGCUGAGAAACCAAUGCAGGCAGGCCCAGGGACCCAGGAGUCAGGGACCAGGUGCUACCAGAUGCUUGCUCCGACUCGUGUUGCUGCUGUCUUCUCUGUGCCUCAACUCUGUCCUCUGUCACUGCAGGCAGCUUCCUCCCAAGGUGGAAGGUGAUAUAUCCCACCUCAUGAAAUCAGGCUUCACCACAAGAUUGCUUUGACCAAGGGGACGUGAGUAGAAGUUUGAAGAACCACAGACUGGUCCAUCACCUUGUUUCUUAUCCCUCUGACAUAAGCAAUGUCCCAGACUGGGGCUGUUCUGUUAGCCUGGCUUCCAGAAUGAAGAGAGCUGAUCUACAUGGCAUAUGUAAGAUAAAUAAACCUUUGUUAUUACAAACCACUGAAACGUGUCUUGAGAAGAAACAGCAACAGGAGAAGAAGAAGAAACAGCAACAGCAACAGGACGAAGAGUUGUUUUGGGGGAAAAAAGGAUGAUCCAGGGUGAAAUGUAAU
rnacentral:lncRNA from 10 species